rnacentral:rRNA from 1 species
UACGAAGGGGGCUAGCGUUGCUCGGAAUCACUGGGCGUAAAGGGCGCGUAGGCGGGUCUUUAAGUCAGGGGUGAAAUCCUGGAGCUCAACUCCAGAACUGCCUUUGAUACUGAAGAUCUUGAGUCCGGGAGAAGUGAGUGGAACUGCGAGUGUAGAGGUGAAAUUCGUAGAUAUUCGCAAGAACACCAGUGGCGAAGGCGGCUUACUGGUCCGGUUCUGACGCUGAGGCGCGAAAGCGUGGGGAGCAAACAGG